GUCGAGGGGUAACAGAGAAAAGCUUGCUUUUUUGCUGACGACCGGCGCACGGGUGCGUAACGCGUAUACAAUCUACCUUUUACAGGGGGAUAGCCUUUAGAAAUGAAGAUUAAUAUCCCAUAGUAUGAUAUUUUGGCAUCAAAGAAUCAUUAAAGCUUCGGCGGUAAAAGAUGAGUAUGCGUUCUAUUAGCUAGUAGGUAAGGUAACGGCUUACCUAGGCGACGAUAGAUAGGGGUCCUGAGAGGGAGAUCCCCCACACUGGUACUGAGACACGGACCAGACUCCUACGGGAGGCAGCAGUGAGGAAUAUUGGACAAUGGGCGCAAGCCUGAUCCAGCCAUGCCGCGUGCAGGAAGACUGCCCUAUGGGUUGUAAACUGCUUUUAUACAGGAAGAAACCUUUUCACGUGUGAGAAGCUGACGGUACUGUAAGAAUAAGGAUCGGCUAACUCCGUGCCAGCAGCCGCGGUAAUACGGAGGAUCCAAGCGUUAUCCGGAAUCAUUGGGUUUAAAGGGUCCGUAGGUGGAUAAUUAAGUCAGAGGUGAAAUCCUGCAGCUUAACUGUAGAAUUGCCUUUGAUACUGGUUGUCUUGAGUCAUUAUGAAGUGGUUAGAAUAUGUAGUG
rnacentral:rRNA from 1 species